UACGGCCGUACCAUGCUGAAUAUACCGGUUCUCGUUAGAUUACCGAAGUUAAGCAUCAUUGGGCGCUUUCAGUACUUUAGGUGACCACCUGGGAAACUGCGUGCCGUU
rnacentral:rRNA from 1 species